rnacentral:rRNA from 1 species
GCAACGAAAUGAUCGGGCUCGGCCCGAUCCUCCCACCCUUUGUGUACCUACCUCUGUUGCUUUGGCGGGCCGCGGUCCUCCGCGGCCGCCCCCCUCCCCGGGGGGGUGGCCAGCGCCCGCCAGAGGACCAUCAAACUCCAGUCAGUAAACGAUGCAGUCUGAAAAACAUUUAAUAAACUAAAACUUUCAACAACGGAUCUCUUGGUUCUGGCAUCGAUGAAGAACGCAGCGAAAUGCGAUAAGUAAUGUGAAUUGCAGAAUUCAGUGAAUCAUCGAAUCUUUGAACGCACAUUGCGCCCUUUGGUAUUCCGAAGGGCAUGCCUGUUCGAGCGUCAUUACAACCCUCAAGCUCUGCUUGGUAUUGGGCACCGUCCUUUGCGGGCGCGCCUCAAAGACCUCGGCGGUGGCGUCUUGCCUCAAGCGUAGUAGAACAUACAUCUCGCUUCGGAGCGCAGGGCGUCGCCCGCCGGACGAACCUUCUGAACUUUUCUCAAGGUUGACCUCGGAUCAGGUAGGGAUACCCGCUGAACUUAAGCAUAUCAUAAGCCGGGAGGAA